rnacentral:rRNA from 1 species
ACGGGAGGCAGCAGUGGGGAAUAUUGCACAAUGGGGGAAACCCUGAUGCAGCGACGCCGCGUGAGUGAGGAAGUUAUUCGUAAUGUAAAGCUCUAUCAGCAGGGAAGAAAAUGACGGUACCUGACUAAGAAGCCCCGGCUAACUACGUGCCAGAAGCCGCGGUAAUACGCAGGGGGCAAGCGUUAUCCGGAUUUACUGGGUGUAAAGGGAGCGUAGACGGCUGUGUAAGUCUGAUGUGAAAGGCAGGGGCUCAACUUCUGGACUGUAUUGGAAACUACAGAGCUUGAGUGCCGGAGAGGUAAGCGGAAUUCCUAGUGUAGCGGUGAAAUGCGUAGAUAUUAGGAGGAACACCAGUGGCGAAGGCGGCUUACUGGACGGUAACUGACGUUGAGGCUCGAAAGCGUGGGGAGCAAACAGGAUUAGAUACCCUGGUA